rnacentral:rRNA from 1 species
UACGUAGGGGGCAAGCGUUGUCCGGAUUUAUUGGGCGUAAAGAGCGUGUAGGCGGCCAAGCAGGUCCGCUGUGAAAACUCGAGGCUCAACCUCGAGACGUCGGUGGAAACCGUUUGGCUAGAAUCCGGAAGAGGAGAGUGGAAUUCCCGGUGUAGCGGUGAAAUGCGCAGAUAUCGGGAAGAACACCCGUGGCGAAGGCGGCUCUCUGGGACGGUACUGACGCUGAGACGCGAAAGCGUGGGGAGCGAACAGG